GUGCCAGCAGCCGCGGUAAUUCCAGUCUCCAAUAGCGUAUAUUAAAGUUGUUGUGGUUAAAAAGCUCGUAGUUGAACCUUGGGCCUGGCUGGCCGGUCCGCCUCACCGCGUGCACUGGUCCGGCCGGGCCUUUCCCUCUGUGGAACCCCAUACCCUUCACUGGGCGUGGCGGGGAAACAGGACAUUUACUUUGAAAAAAUUAGAGUGCUCCAGGCAGGCCUAUGCUCGAAUACAUUAGCAUGGAAUAAUAAAAUAGGACGCGCGGUUCUAUUUUGUUGGUUUAUAGGACCGCCGUAAUGAUUAAUAGGGACAGUCGGGGGCAUCAGUAUUCAACUGUCAGAGGUGAAAUUCUUGGAUCAGUUGAAGACUAACUACUGCGAAAGCAUUUGCCAAGGAUGUUUUCAUUAAUCAGGAACGAAAGUUAGGGGAUCGAAGACGAUCAGAUACCGUCGUAGUCUUAACCAUAAACUAUGCCGACUAGGGAUCGGACGGUGUUAUUCAUGACCCGUUCGGCACCUUACGAGAAAUCAAAGUGCUUGGGCUCCAGGGGGAGUAUGGUCGCAAGGCUGAAACUUAAAGAAAUUGACGGAAGGGCACCACCAGGGGUGGAGCCUGCGGCUUAAUUUGACUCAACACGGGGAAACUCACCAGGUCCAGACACAAUAAGGAUUGACAGAUUGAGAGCUCUUUCUUGAUUUUGUGGGUGGUGGUGCAUGGCCGUUCUUAGUGGUGGGGUGACUUGUCUGCUAAUUGCGAUACGAACGAGACCUUAACCUGCUAAAUAGCCCGCAUGCUCGCAGUGCGCUGGCUUCUUAGAGGGACUUCGCUCAAGCGAAGGAGUUGAGCAAUAACAGGUCUGGAUGCCUUAGAUGUUCUGGGCCGCACGCGCGCCUACACCUGACGGGGUAA
rnacentral:rRNA from 1 species